rnacentral:rRNA from 1 species
GCCCGAAAGGGAAAGUAGACACAGGUGCUGCAUGGCUGUCGUCAGCUCGUGUCGUGAGAUGUUGGGUUAAGUCCCGCAACGAGCGCAACCCUUGCCAAUAAUUGCCAUCAUUUAGUUGGGCACUUUAUUGGGACUGCCGGUGACAAACCGGAGGAAGGUGGGGAUGACGUCAAGUCCUCAUGGCCCUUAUGGCCAGGGCUUCACACGUAAUACAAUGGUCGGUACAGAGGGUUGCCAAGCCGCGAGGUGGAGCCAAUCCCAAAAAGCCGAUCGUAGUCCGGAUUGCAGUCUGCAACUCCACUGCAUGAAGUCGGAAUCGCUAGUAAUCGCGGAUCAACAUGUCGCGGUGAAUACUUU